CUACACGACGAACCGGAAGUGGUUUUAUAUCGACUGUCUGCUCUUUAGCAAGCUAAAUUACCUUUAAAGAUUCUUCUUUACGAUUUUUGGAAACGGACCAACGCGAGAUUUUUGUGUCAUUUUCUCCAGUGGAUCUUGGUACAGCGCCACCACAGGCGCAGAGCGGGAAGACAGCUGAACUGCACCAGGCUCGGUGAGAGCUGAAAGGCCUGCUGAGAACAAUGGCUGACAUCAGGAGAAACAUGCAGGAUCACCACCUGAACUUCUUAAGGAAGGCGGAAAGAGGGCUCGCUCUCAAACCUCCACCUACACCUUGAGUCCUGGGAUUUGUGCAGAGAAGGAGUGCUGAUCGUAUUCAAAAAUGUGUGCAGAUGGAAUGAGCAGGAUCUGGAUUGAUUAGCUGCACAGAUUGAAGCGAUCAGAAAACUCCACGAAUAUCCGCAAAUGACUGCUUGGACGUGGCUUUGAAACUUCGUCUGAAAUGAAUUAAAUGACUUCCUCUAUGAAAAUAUGAGAAACUUUUAUUUUACUCUAAGGAAAACCUUCAACAUGGUAGUUAUGUAGUGGAUUGUUUUGAGUGAUACACAGUUAAAAAGAAGCACAAAAAUACAAAUAAAAAAAAAUUGUGUGCAUUUAUUGUAUUUUUUAUAAUUUAUUGUCAUACAUUUCUUAUCAUGAUGCAUCGUUGUCGCAAUAAAUUCCAAUUAAUG